rnacentral:rRNA from 1 species
AGCAGUCGCCACGGUAAUACGUAGGUGGCAAGCGUUGUCCGGAAUUAUUGGGCGUAAAGGGCUCGCAGGCGGUUUCUUAAGUCUGGUGUGAAAGCCCCCGGCUCAACCGGGGAGGGUCAUUGGAAUCUGGGAAACUUGAGUGCAGAAGAGGAGAGUGGAAUUCCACGUGUAGCGGUGAAAUGCGUAGAGAUGUGGAGGAACACCAGUGGCGAAGGCGACUCUCUGGUCUGUAACUGACGCUGGGGAGCGAAAGCGUGGGGAGCGAACAGGAUUAGAUACCCCAGUAGUCCCUGUCUCUUAUAC